UAAAAUCCAAAAAUAGACUAUUCAGAUGGAUGUCUUUCUACUGUGUAGGAAACCCUCGAAGAACUGAGAGAACAUGCGCACACAUGGUGGAAGCAGGAUUUAAAGCUCUAACUCAAUGCAAGGUUCUUAGCUGCAAAGUUAAGAAGAUAAGCAGCACGGAUCGUCCUGAUCGUCGCGUGAUACUCUACAGGCAAUUUCCCAGGAAAUAUAUUCACCCAAUUCCAUCCUUCCUCCAUACAUUUCUCCUUGCCCUUAACCUUUGUGAGGAAUUGGCAAAGAGAUCCCUUCAAAGCUCAUUCAGAUCCUGAACCAGAAUCCAAAAGGACGAAGCAGCACCUCCAGAGACCUAAAGAUCAUAGGUGCAAAAUGAGUUUUUUAAGCUUUCUCCAGUUGCUGUUUGCUCAUUAUGAUUUCAUGUUCUGUCCCCUGCUACUUGUGCGAGAUCCAAAAGGUUUAA